rnacentral:rRNA from 1 species
CCUACGGGUGGCAGCAGUGAGGAAUAUUGGUCAAUGGUCGGGAGACUGAACCAGUCAAGCCGCGUGAGGGAUGAAGGUACAGAGUAUCGUAAACCUCUUUUGCCAGGGAACAAAGGCGGGGACGUGUCCCCGGAUGAGUGUACCUGAAGAAAAAGCAUGGGCUAACUCCGGGCCACCAGCGGCAGUAAUAGGAGGGAUGCGCGCGUUAUCGGGUUUUAUGGGGUUAAAAGGGGGCGCAGGGGGUCUGUUAAGUCAGCGGUAAAACCGCGGGGCUCAACACCGGCCCGCCGUUGAAACUGGCAGUCUCGAGUUGGAGAGAAGUAGGCGGAAUGCGCGGUGUAGCGGUGAAAUGCAUAGAUAUCGCGCAGAACUCCGGUUGCGAAGGCAGCAUGCCGGCUCCACACUGACGCUGAGGCACGAAAGCGUGGGGAGCGAACAGGAUUAGAUACCCGUGUAGUC